ACAGCUUCAAAUUACUCAGAUAUUUCAUUCACGAGUUCAGAAUUUCAAUGAGGAUCUCAUGUCGUUGUCUUUAUCGUUGUUGGUUUCAAUUUGUGGCCUGUUAAUUUGUUUAUCUGUUUAUUAGUAUGUCUAAUAUCUGUCACGCCAUAGUGUAAAUUAUUGUUAUGUUUAUGUAUGUUGUGGAACCCCGUUAUUGGAGAUUUUAUCUCUGUGUGGUCAUUCCAGCCAUUGUGUGUAAUU
rnacentral:lncRNA from 1 species